GUUAUUUCAAAAUUAUUAAUAAUUAUUUUUAUUGCAUUAACAGGGUGAAAGCAAUCAAAAUAUUUACAUCAGCAUUAGAAUUAGAAUUAAACUACACAUGCAUUCUGAAUAAGUAUAAGCCAUUUUUUUUUUCUUAUAUUUGAAGGGAUCUUGAUCUGCAUACUAAAUGGCGAUGGUUGACUAAGAAGUCUUGUCGUUAGCUCAACAACCUAGCUAUGUUUAGUUCAAUUGCUUAAUAGCAGUCUUUAGCUUAAGGUUUAAGUCUUUAGCUCAGU